CCAACCUCCGUUUAAAAAAAAAAAAAAAAAAGUUAUCGUGGGUUGACAGACAGAAUUUCCCAGCACUAAGUUUCUUUGUAUAAUCCCUGCCAUGCUACUGUAGCCUAUCAGGCUUUGUUGAGCUGACUCGCUUGUGUUUCAGCUGCUAGUUUCGGAAACACUGGAGGGAGUGUGAAGUACUGGGACUUGUGAGGAAAUUAUUUGUUUCAAACUGGCUAUGGUACAUUUUGUUUUUUAAUUAAUGCAUUAUUUAAGCAUUCAUUUUUGUCUGGGGGGGUAAAACCCCACUUGCGUUUUAAAGAAAAACGAGCUCGGUUUGGAUAACUGUAUCGCAUGAAAAGAAACUACAGCUGAAUGAUGAUUGUACGAGAAUGGCGAGGGACUCUUUUGUUUUGUAGAAGCAGUUUAUGGGACGGACAGACGUGUGAAGGCCAGCGGCGUGGAAGACCUCAUCGCAGAGACGCUGAGAUUCACGCCUCACACAGGAGGAAAGGAGCGACAGGCAACUUCGUGGAACUGACAGUGAAGCCGGGCCAUCAUUCCUCUGAAGGUACAGCAAUGCAGAAUGAGAGAAACUAUGAGGAUUGUUGAUCCAAUUGGGACACUUUUGUGAAGACUUGAGCGUUACCCAACGAAGAGCCUACAGUGUUCCUUCUCCUUUGUCACUCUGGCACAUAGAUGGGUAUCAUGAGUUAAUUCAAUGGAGGAUAGUCAUUCAUGGCGGCAUUGAUGGCUACAGUAGAAAAAUAGUGUACCUGAAAGCCAGCAACAUCAACAGAGCUUGUACAGUUUUUGAAAGUUUUGUUGGAGCUGUAUAUCAGUUUGGCUUACCAUCACAAGUCCGAAGUGACAAAGGCCUUGAAAACAUUGAAGUGGCUCGAUUUAUGCUGGAGCAUCCUCGUCGUGUGUUGGACAGAGGAAGCCAUAUCACAGGUCGAAGUGUGCACAACCAGCGCAUUGAGAGGCUGUGGCGUGAUGUCUGCUACACAGUUACCAGCAAUUAUUAUGCUGCCUUGCAGUACUUGCAGGCAAUACAGGCACUUGACCCAGAUGAUGAACUUCACUACGUGAUGAUUCCAAGACUGAACAUGCACCUUGAUAUGUGGGACUGACGUCCUCUAUCCUCGGAGCACAUGAAAUCCCCACAGCAGCAAUGGAUUCAAGGGCUACUGUCAAACUACAGCAGCAGAAAUCCCACUUCCUGUGAGACUUGGAACUCUGAUAUGGUACUUCCUUUUCUUCAGCGAUACAAAUAAAGGUUACCUUAUAUAUCUAAUUAACAUGUUAAAUUGAUUGUCUCCAUUUUACUAGAUGGAUUUUGAUAACUAUGGAAGGACCUGGAGCCUGCCGUGAAUCAGAGCCCCCAGUUUCAUUGCAGGACACACUGGUUCCUCUCCUUCCAGUCAACAUUGACCCUUUGAGGACGAGCAGCUGUUUCGGACUUGAUCUUUAUUUAGAAGCAUUAAGUGUAGCAAACAACAGAAAUGCCUAAAUGUAGGUUUUAAGACCUUUACAUACCACAACCGCUCCUUUUCAUCCUGAAAAGGCUUUCAAACAUGUAUUGUACAGUGCACUCAGGUUUUAGCAAGGGUUCUCUUCUCAUCACCUCUGCAAGUGUUAAUGUGAAUAGUUUUUAUAAUAAAAAUAAUUAUUUUUACCCUUUUUAUUUUAAACCCAGUUUGUAAA